rnacentral:tRNA from 1 species
GGGUGCGUAGACCCGUAGGGGGCGGGAGCAGUCUGUAAAACUGUCGUCCGAAAGGGCCCCGUCAGUUCGACUCUGACCGCACCCA